rnacentral:rRNA from 1 species
GAACGCUGGCGGCAUGCUUUACACAUGCAAGUUGAACGAAUUCAAGUUUUCGAAUUUUAGUUAAGUAGCGAACGGGUGAGUAAAACGUAAGAAUCUAUUUUUAGGUGAGGAAUAACUAAUGGAAACGUUAGCUAAUACCUUAUAAACUGAGAAGUGAAAAACCAAAGAUUGCCUAAAAGUGAGCUUGCGCCUGAUUAGCUUGUUGGUAAGAUAAUCGCUUACCAAAGCGACGAUCAGUAGUUGAUCUAAGAGGAUAAUCAACCACACUGGGACUGAGAUACGGCCCAGACCUCUGCGGAGGGCAGCAGUGAGGAAUUUUCCGCAAUGGGCGAAAGCCUGACGGAGCAAUGCCGCGUGAAGGAUGAAGGCCUAUGGGUCGUAAACUUCUUUUCUUAAUGAAGAAAUAAGACGGUAAUUAAGGAAUAAGCAUCGGCUAACUCCGUGCCAGCAGCCGCGGUAAU